GGAGUUAGCCGGUGCUUCUUCUGUGAGUGAUGUCCUUCCUGCCGGCUAUUAACCCGCAGGCCUUCUUCCUCACUGAAAGUGCUUUACAACCCGAAGGCCUUCUUCACACACGCGGCAUGGCUGGAUCAGGGUUGCCCCCAUUGUCCAAUAUUCCCCACUGCUGCCUCCCGUAGGAGUCUGGGCCGUGUCUCAGUCCCAGUGUGGCUGAUCAUCCUCUCAGACCAGCUACGGAUCGUCGCCUUGGUGAGCCGUUACCUCACCAACCAGCUAAUCCGACAUAGGCUCAUCCGAUAGCGCGAGGCCCGAAGGUCCCCCGCUUUCCCCCGUAGGGCGUAUGCGGUAUUAGCCUGGGUUUCCCCAGGUUAUCCCCCACUACCGGGCAGAUUCCUAUGCAUUACUCACCCGUCCGCCGCUCGCCACCAGGGAGCAAGCUCCCCGUGCUGCCGCUCGACUUGCAUGUGUUAGGCCUGCCGCCAGCGUUCAUACUAAGACCAGAUACAACUACUGA
rnacentral:rRNA from 1 species